rnacentral:rRNA from 1 species
AAGUUGAACGAGAUUAGUUUUAGCAAUAGAACUUUUUUAGUGGCGCACGGGUGCGUAACGCGUAUGCAACCUACCUUAAACAGGGGAAUAGCCUCUCGAAAGAGAGAUUAAUACCGCAUAAUAUAUAUUUAGAGCAUUCUAGAUAUAUUAAACCUACGGGGGUUUAAGAUGGGCAUGCGUGACAUUAGCUAGUUGGUGAGGUAACGGCUCACCAAGGCAACGAUGUCUAGGGGGUCUGAGAGGAUGUCCCCCCACACUGGUACUGAGACACGGACCAGACUCCUACGGGAGGCAGCAGUAGGGAAUAUUGGUCAAUGGAGGCAACUCUGAACCAGCCAUGCCGCGUGCAGGACUAAGGCCCUAUGGGUCGUAAACUGCUUUUGAACGGGAAGAAAUGUAUCUACGUGUAGAUAUUUGACGGUACCGUUAGAAUAAGGAUCGGCUAACUUCGUGCCAGCAGCCGCGGUAAUACGAAGGAUCCAAGCGUUGUCCGGAUUUACUGGGUUUAAAGGGUGCGUAGGCGGACUUAUAAGUCAGUGGUGAAAGCCUUCAGCUUAACUGAAGAACUGCCAUUGAAACUGUAAGUCUCGAGUUCGGUUGAGGUCAUUGGAAUGUAACAUGUAGCGGUGAAAUGCAUAGAUAUGUUACAGAACACCAAUUGCGAAGGCAGAUGACUAAACCGAAACUGACGCUGAGGCACGAAAGCGUGGGGAUCAAACAGGAUUAGAUACCCUGGUAGUCCACGCCCUAAACGUUGAAUACUCGACCUUAGCGAUAUACAGUUAGGGUCCAAGCGAAAGCGUUAAGUAUCCACCUGGAC